rnacentral:rRNA from 1 species
GACGAACGCUGGCGGCGUGCUUAAUGAAUGCGAGUCGAGCGCUAUCCGGUUGAUUCUUUCGGGAUGAAGCCGGUGAGAGCGGCGAACGGGUGAGUAACACGUGGGUAACGUGCCCUACAGUCGGGGACAACAGCGGGAAACUGCUGCUAAUACCCGAUAUGUCUCCUGUGGCAUCACGGGAAGAUGAAAGAAUUUCGCUGUAGGAUCGGCCCGCGGCCGAUUAGCUUGUUGGAGAGGUAACGGCUCCCCAAGGCGACGAUCGGUAGCUGGUCUGAGAGGACGGUCGGCCACACUGGGACUGCGACAUGGUCCAGACUCCUACGGGAGUUAGCAUCAGGGAAUCUUGCGCAAUGGGCGAAAGCCUGACGCAGCGACGCCGCGUGAGGGAUGAAGGUCUGCGGAUCGUAAACCUCUGUCAGGAGGGACGAAGUUCUGACGGUACCUCCGAAGGAAGCCACGGCUAAUCACGUGCCAGCAGCCGCGGUAACUCGUGAGUGGCAAGCGUUGUCCGGAAUUACUGGGCGUAAAGAGCACGUAGGCGGUUUGGUAAGCGGCGGGUGAAAUUCCAGGGCUCAACUUUGGAACUGCUCGCCGAACUGCCAGGCUAGAGUGCGGGAGAGGGCAGUGGAAUUCCUGGUGUAGCGGUGGAAUGCGUAUAUAUCAGGAGGAACACCUGUGGCGAAGGCUGCUGCCUGGAACGCGACUGACGCUGAGGUGCGAAAGCUAGGGGAGCGAACGGGAUUAGAUACCCCGGUAGUCCUAGCUGUAAACGAUGGACACUAGGUGUUGGAGGCAUCAACCCCUUCAGUGCUGUUAUGCUAACGCGUUAAGUGUCCCGCCUGGGGAGUACGGCCGCAAGGUUG